rnacentral:rRNA from 1 species
GGGGAAUCUUGCACAAUGGGGGCAACCCUGAUGCAGCGACGCCGCGUGAGCGAUGAAGCCCCUCGGGGCGUAAAGCUCUUUCGUCCGGAACGAUAAUGACGGUACCGGGAGAAGAAGCUGCGGCUAACUACGUGCCAGCAGCCGCGGUAAUACGUAGGCAGCAAGCGUUGUUCGGAGUUACUGGGCGUAAAGAGUGCGUAGGCGGUUUUCUAAGUUCGGUGUGAAAUCUCCCGGCUUAACUGGGAGGGUGCGCCGAAGACUGGGAAGCUGGAGUGUGGGAAAGGCAGGCGGAAUUCCUGGUGUAGCGGUGAAAUGCGUAGAUAUCAGGAGGAACACCGGCGGUGUAGACGGCUUGCUAGACCAUAACUGACGCUGAGGCACGAAAGCGUGGGUAGCAAACA